CUACGGGCGGCAGCAGUGAGGAAUAUUGCACAAUGGGGGGAACCCUGAUGCAGCAACGCCGCGUGGAGGAUGACGCAUUUCGGUGUGUAAACUCCUUUUAUAUGUCAAGAAAAUGACGGUAGCAUAUGAAUAAGCACCGGCUAACUCCGUGCCAGCAGCCGCGGUAAUACGGGAGGGUGCGAGCGUUACUCGGAAUCACUGGGCGUAAAGGACGCGUAGGCGGGUUGGAAAGUCAGGUGUGAAAUCCUACAGCUUAACUGUAGAACUGCACUUGAAACUUCUAAUCUAGAGUAUGGGAGGGGGAGAUGGAAUUAGUGGUGUAGGGGUAAAAUCCGUAGAUAUCACUAGGAAUACCUAAAGCGAAGGCGAUCUCCUGGAACAUUACUGACGCUAAGGCGUGAAAGCGUGGGGAGCAAACAGGAUUAGAUACCCCCGUAGUC
rnacentral:rRNA from 1 species